CGAAAAGCCCACAUCCAUUAUUUUCACAGCCUCCCCGCUAAGAUUGCGGUUUCCAAGCCAGAGCUGAUUCCCCUCCGCCCCCGGCGCAGAAGCUGCCAAAAUGCUCUCCUCUACCGGGGGUGGGGAGGAGUCCGGGGUGGUGGUGAAGAAGCGUAGGGGUAGAUAGUCAGAGAGUACUAACCCCAAUACUUUCUCUAUCCCAUCCCAGGUUAGAGAAUCUCAAGUCAAAUCCUACUUUCAGAGCCUGGUUUAUCGGAGUCAUUGGACAGGCUGUAAAAGGAUCUCAAGCCACUUAUAAUUAUAGCGCUUUGAUUCGUCUUGCCCUCCACUGACAAAAUCAGCUCUUGGCUUCCUCGGGUCUCCUUUCCUUCCUUUUCCUUUAUCCCUUUAGUAAAGAAAGGUCGAAAAUGCACCUACAGUCAAAAUUCCACCACCAGACUUGGGGACACCCCCAUCUCUAGAUGCUGCCCAGUGCGGGUCAGGGAGGACCGAAGCUGGAAGACUGCCUCCCAGAAACGAAUCUGCCCACUCUGACAGCUCGAUUGAAGGUGAUUGAUGACUAUCUGGAGACCACAGUACACAUAAUAUAAUAUCUGCUGCGUAAUUGCUUUAAUUUACAGAUGAAAAUACUAGUUCUCCGAUCGAGUUAGACUAUAGUAAGCAACGUCCUAGCUGCUUUCAAAGGAAAGGCAUCGGAAAUAAUGAAUAGCAGAUCCAUGCAAAUUAUUCAGACAGUUUAGCGUCUGUAGCCGGGAGAAAUGUAAAAAGAACACGAGUCAAAUGACAUUAAUAAUUGUUUUUGAA